AUUGAACGCUGGCGGCAGGCCUAACACAUACAAGUCGAGCGACCGGCGGACGGGUGAGUAAUGUUUGGGAAACUGCCUGUUGGAGGGGGAUAACUACUGGAAACGGUAGCUAAUACCCCAUACCAUCAAAUGUCCCCCGAUGGGAUUAGCUAGUAGGUGGGGUAACGGCUAACCUAGGCGACGAUCCCUAGCUGGUCUGAGAGGAUGACAAGCCACACUGGAACUGAGACACGGUCCAGACUCCUACGGGAGGCAGCAGUGGGGAAUAUUGCACAAUGGGCGCAAGCCUGAUGCAGCCAUGCCGCGUGUGUGAAGAAGGCCUUCGGGUUGUAAAGCACUUUCAGCGGGGAGGCGUUACCCGCAGAAGAAGCACCGGCUAACUCCGUGCCAGCAGCCGCGGUAAUAC
rnacentral:rRNA from 1 species